AGUGAACGCUGGCGGUAGGCCUAACACAUGCAAGUCGAACGGCAGCACAGGAGAGCUUGCUCUCUGGGUGGCGAGUGGCGGACGGGUGAGGAAUACAUCGGAAUCUACCUUUUCGUGGGGGAUAACGUAGGGAAACUUACGCUAAUACCGCAUACGACCUACGGGUGAAAGCAGGGGAUCUUCGGACCUUGCGCGAUUGAAUGAGCCGAUGUCGGAUUAGCUAGUUGGCGGGGUAAAGGCCCACCAAGGCGACGAUCCGUAGCUGGUCUGAGAGGAUGAUCAGCCACACUGGAACUGAGACACGGUCCAGACUCCUACGGGAGGCAGCAGUGGGGAAUAUUGGACAAUGGGCGCAAGCCUGAUCCAGCCAUACCGCGUGGGUGAAGAAGGCCUUCGGGUUGUAAAGCCCUUUUGUUGGGAAUGAAAUCCAGCUGGUUAAUACCCGGUUGGGAUGACGGUACCCAAAGAAUAAGCACCGGCUAACUACGUGCCAGCCGCCGCCGUAA
rnacentral:rRNA from 1 species